CCUACGGGAGGCAGCAGUGAGGAAUAUUGGUCAAUGGGCGUAAGCCUGAACCAGCCAAGUCGCGUGAGGGAUGAAUGUUCUAUGGAUCGUAAACCUCUUUUAUAAGGGAAUAAAGUGCGGGACGUGUCCCGUUUUGUAUGUACCUUAUGAAUAAGGAUCGGCUAACUCCGUGCCAGCAGCCGCGGUAAUACGGAGGAUCCGAGCGUUAUCCGGAUUUAUUGGGUUUAAAGGGUGCGUAGGCGGCUUUUUAAGUCAGCGGUGAAAGUUUGUGGCUCAACCAUAGAAUUGCAGUUGAAACUGGCAGGCUUGAGUAUGUUUGAGGCAGGCGGAAUUCGUGGUGUAGCGGUGAAAUGCUUAGAUAUCACGAAGAACCCCGAUUGCGAAGGCAGCCUACCAAGCCAUGACUGACACUGAUGCACGAAAGCGUGGGGAUCAAACAGGAUUAGAUACCCGGGUAGUC
rnacentral:rRNA from 1 species